CUGUUUUGGACAUUGGUGUAAG
rnacentral:miRNA from 1 species